AAGAGCGUAUGUAAAAGUUGUUGCAGUUAAAAAGCUCGUAGUUGAACCUUGGGUUUGGUUGGCCGGUCCGCUUUUUUGCGAGUACUGGAUUCAACCGAGCCUUUCCUUCUGGCUAACCAGUCGUUUCGGCGGCUGGCGAACCAGGAUUUUUACUUUGAGAAAAUUAGAGUGUUCAAAGCAGGCAUUAGCUUGAAUAUAUUAGCAUGGAAUAAUAGAAUAGGACGUUAUGGUUCUAUUUUGUUGGUUUCUAGGACCAUCGUAAUGAUUAAUAGGGACGGUCGGGGGCAUCAGUAUUCAGUUGUCAGAGGUGAAAUUCUUGGAUUUACUGAAGACUAACUACUGCGAAAGCAUUUGCCAAGGACGUUUUCAUUAA
rnacentral:rRNA from 1 species